rnacentral:rRNA from 1 species
GCGCGAAAACUUUACAAUGCUGGCAACAGCGAUAAGGGGACCUCGAGUGCCAGGUUACAAAUCUGGCUGUCGAGAUGCCUAAAAAGCAUUUCAUAGCAAGGGCCGGGCAAGACCGGUGCCAGCCGCCGCGGUAACACCGGCGGCUCGAGUGGUAACCGUUAUUAUUGGGUCUAAAGGGUCUGUAGCCGGCCGGAUAAGUCUCUUGAGAAAUCUGGCAGCUUAACUGUCAGGCUUUCAGGAGAUACUGUCUGGCUCGAGGCCGGGAGAGGUGAGAGGUACUUCAGGGGUAGGGGUGAAUUCUUGUAAUCCUGGAAGGACCACCAGUGGCGAAGGCGUCUCACCAGAACGGACCUGACGGCAAGGGACGAAAGCUAGGGGCACGAACCGGAUGAGAUACCCUCGUAUUC